UGUGAAUCAAAAAUGUAGCAGCGGAUUGUCUUUCCUGGAAACUGGAGCAAGACUUUGCCAAGAAGGCAGAACAGGUGUCAGACUGAAGUGUCAGCUACACAAAAGUGUCCACGGAGCUUGCUGCUCACCUGCUACUCCACAGACCCACCAGUUAAAGACCCGGGCGAAGAACAUGAGGCAAGUCACCCUGGCACCCAGCAUGCCUGCCCUCCACACCAGCUGGCACAGCAGGGCUGCCGGAGGCAUGGCCAGGUGGCCUGGUCGGAUGAGACAGCAGGCUCUGCUGUACAGCACCAGGGCCCAGGAAAUAGACAGCACACACAGACCACAGCAAUAAGCCACUGAAGGUAAAAACAGAAGGGGAAAUUAUGAAGAAAAGACAUUAUCUCCUAUUCAGACAUUUUCUAGAACAACGGACGUCCCAAAUAUCACGUGGAGCCAGUAAAGCAAAGGCAAGUUUACCUGGUGACGUUAUGCCCACAUCUGUGGACACCACGACAUACGCCUGCAGCAGGCUCUGGGGCAGUGUGAGGACAAGGGCCUCCAGCAGCCAAAGGGCAGCAACAUCUGCCUGCUGCAUGACAGCAGCCCCGAGCUCAGCCACUGAGCCCUGCGUGCGCAAGACAGACCUCAUACAGUCCCAUAACCUGCCAGAAGAGGGGGCCAGAGACAGACACCGAAGGAGAGAUAAGCAACCUCUUGGUGAAAGGUUCAAUGACAGAAGGAUGCAAAUGUCAUUUUUACUGUCUACUUUGAUGGGAAUGAAGUCUGUCACCCAUUGUUCCUACAGCAAAGGGCACAAAGCAGCAUUUGCUGAUGAUUUAUUUCCUACGAGGGCACAGUCUACAGACAUAGUCUAAAUAUGGAAAUGCUGUUAUAUUUUGCACAUAAUAUCCGGAGUUGGAAAUGUCUCACCUUUUAAAGAUGCCCAAGUGCAGUAUGUGUAUGACAGAGAGGUAGCACCGCCUGUCAUCACCAUCAUCAUAGUACCAUUUCACACUUAGCAGUUGAACUGCCGUCCCCGGUAGAAAGAGGCCCAGAGUGAGGCCCGCCCACUGCGUCUCCUCAUUCCAAAGGGUGAAGGGUUGACACUUCCCGGUGGAGAGUAUCCCAAGACUCAUAACAGGAUGUUUAUCAACGUCACCAACUCCCCACAUCAGCACAGUGCGCGCAACACGAAAG